AUUACAUAUAAAACCACAUCUAACUGCAAAAUGCAGCUUGCUUUUUAUUAGCUAUUGGAGGGAGAAAAAAAAUGAGAGGGCGAACGGUAGCCGCCUAUAAAGCUGAUACAUAUUCUCACCCAAAAUUUUGACCAUUACAGUUCUACGAGCAUUCGUUUAGGAAAAACCCUACUGCAAAUAGGAUUAUGUCAAAUCCCAAAUUUACAUAACUGGAAUCUUUUUUUCAUCUUCUAUGAAGUAUACUGCAGAUACUGGAAUCUGAGAACCGCAAAGUGAAAAAGCUUCAGCUGGCAUUUU
rnacentral:lncRNA from 1 species